rnacentral:rRNA from 3 species
GGACUACACGGGUUUCUAAUCCCGUUUGCUCCCCUGGCUUUCGCGCCUCAGCGUCAGAAGAGGUCCAGUGAUGCGCUUUCGCCACCGGCGUUCCUUCCGAUAUCAACGCAUUUCACCGCUCCACCGGAAGUUCCCAUCACCCCUACCUCGCUCGAGUCCGGCAGUAUCCAAGGCACUUCUCCAGUUGAGCUGGAGGCUUUCACCCCGGACUGGCCAGACCGCCUACGCGCCCUUUAAGCCCAGUGAUUCCGAACAACGUUCGCACGGUUCGUCUUACCGCGGCUGCUGGCAC